CAGCAGCCGCGGUAAUACGAAGGGGGCUAGCGUUGUUCGGAUUUACUGGGCGUAAAGCGCACGUAGGCGGAUCGAUCAGUCAGGGGUGAAAUCCCAGAGCUCAACCCUGGAACUGCCUUUGAUACUGUCGAUCUGGAGUAUGGAAGAGGUGAGUGGAAUUCCGAGUGUAGAGGUGAAAUUCGUAGAUAUUCGGAGGAACACCAGUGGCGAAGGCGGCUCACUGGUCCAUUACUGACGCUGAGGUGCGAAAGCGUGGGGAGCAAACAGGAUUAGAUACCCCUGUAGUCCCUGUCUCUUAUAC
rnacentral:rRNA from 1 species